GAUGAACGCUGACAGAAUGCUUAACACAUGCAAGUCAACUUGAACUUCGGUUUGGGUGGCGGGCGGGUGAGUAACGCGUAAAGAACUUGCCUCACAGCUAGGGACAACAUUUGGAAACGAAUGCUAAUACCUGAUAUUAUGAUUAUAUGGCAUCGUAUAAUUAUGAAAGCUAUAUGCGCUGUGAGAGAGCUUUGCGUCCCAUUAGCUAGUUGGAGAGGUAACAGCUCACCAAGGCGAUGAUGGGUAGCCGGCCUGAGAGGGUGAUCGGCCACAAGGGGACUGAGACACGGCCCUUACUCCUACGGGAGGCAGCAGUGGGGAAUAUUGGACAAUGGACCGAGAGUCUGAUCCAGCAAUUCUGUGUGCACGAUGAAGUUUUUCGGAAUGUAAAGUGCUUUCAGUUGGGAAGAAAAAAAUGACGGUACCAACAGAAGAAGUGACGGCUAAAUACGUG
rnacentral:rRNA from 1 species